GUAGGGAAUAUUGGGCAAUGGAGGCAACUCUGACCCAGCCAUGCCGCGUGCAGGAUGACGGCCCUCUGGGUUGUAAACUGCUUUUAUACGGGAAGAAAAAAUACUACGUGUAGUAUACUGACGGUACCGUAAGAAUAAGGAUCGGCUAACUCCGUGCCAGCAGCCGCGGUAAUACGGAGGAUCCAAGCGUUGUCCGGAUUUAUUGGGUUUAAAGGGUGCGUAGGCGGAUCUUUAAGUCAGUGGUGAAAGCCUGCAGCUUAACUGUAGAAUUGACAUUGAAACUGAAGAUCUUGAAUGUGGUUAAAGUAGGCGGAAUGUAUCAUGUAGCGGUGAAAUGCUUAGAUAUGAUACAGAACACCGAUAGCGAAGGCAGCUUGCUGAACCAUUAUUGACGCUGAGGCACGAAAGCGUGGGGAGCGAACAGGAUUAGAUACCCGGGUAGUCC
rnacentral:rRNA from 1 species